rnacentral:rRNA from 1 species
GUCGAGCGGACCGACGGGAGCUUGCUCCCUUAGGUCAGCGGCGGACGGGUGAGUAACACGUGGGUAACCUGCCUGUAAGACUGGGAUAACUCCGGGAAACCGGGGCUAAUACCGGAUGCUUGAUUGAACCGCAUGGUUCAAUCAUAAAAGGUGGCUUUUAGCUACCACUUGCAGAUGGACCCGCGGCGCAUUAGCUAGUUGGUGAGGUAACGGCUCACCAAGGCGACGAUGCGUAGCCGACCUGAGAGGGUGAUCGGCCACACUGGGACUGAGACACGGCCCAGACUCCUACGGGAGGCAGCAGUAGGGAAUCUUCCGCAAUGGACGAAAGUCUGACGGAACAACGCCGCGUGAGUGAUGAAGGUUUUCGGAUCGUAAAACUCUGUUGUUAGGGAAGAACAAGUACCGUUCGAAUAGGGCGGGACCUUGACGGUACCUAACCAGAAAGCCACGGCUAACUACGUGCCAGCAGCCGCGGUAAUACGUAGGUGGCAAGCGUUGUCCGGAAUUAUUGGGCGUAAAGCGCGCGCAGGCGGUUUCUUAAGUCUGAUGUGAAAGCCCCCGGCUCAACCGGGGAGGGUCAUUGGAAACUGGGGAACUUGAGUGCAGAAGAGGAGAGUGGAAUUCCACGUGUAGCGGUGAAAUGCGUAGAGAUGUGGAGGAACACCAGUGGCGAAGGCGACUCUCUGGUCUGUAACUGACGCUGAGGCGCGAAAGCGUGGGGAGCGAACAGGAUUAGAUACCCUGGUAGUCCACGCCGUAAACGAUGAGUGCUAAGUGUUAGAGGGUUUCCGCUCUUUAGUGCUGCAGCAAACGCAUUAAGCACUCCGCCUGGGGAGUACGGUCGCAAGACUGAAACUCAAAGGAAUUGACGGGG